CAUGUCCAUUAUAUAGAGUAGUGCUUUAUAUACUAAUUUUCAUAUCAGAAUAGAACAACGCUACUAUUAUUUUGGCCACAAUAAACAUUUCACUCUGAAAUGCCACAAAAUAAAUGUAUGCUUAAAUAACAUUAUUCAUUAUAAUAUCUCUUUUUUCUUACAAAAAUCAGUUGACUCUUUGACCAGUUAAUAUGUUUGAGCAAGAUGAAGUCGUUAAGUGAGUGGAUAUUGGUAGGUCAAAUGAGUCAAAGAGUGCCCUCCCUCAAGAAAGUUAACAGUCUUCCUCCAUCACCAUGAACUAGUGAUUUUAAAUAAGAAUUAGUUUCCCCCAGAAUUGCUCUUCAGCAAACCACAGUUCUCACUCCAUGGCAAAACAGCCAUGUGAGCUGAAAGAAAAGAGUAAGAGAAAUGUUUGCAUGCCUCUCCGUCAGUCCAGGGUCCCAGACAUGAUCCUGGUCUGGCAAGUUGACAUUGCGAGAGUUUUGAGCUAAAACUGCAAAUGGUGCUCUUGACUGCUGAUUUAUUGGAAUUCCGUUUUGUUUAUGUGAUCUGUCUCCAAAGUUGAUAUUUUCUUCAGCAUCGGGGAUAUGUGACCUCCUAUAUUGCAGCAGGAUGACAUGUUAAUAUUCUCCUUAAUAGAAUUUGCAUACUUUGAUCUCCUAGUUCACCAUACCUCAUCUUUUUAAUAGCUACUGCAGAUUCUGAUGCUACAUCUGUAUCACACCUGUGCUGGAGAAAAGUCCUUUUGUUAUUUGAAUUGAUGUAUGAAGAGCUGUUCUCUUUUGCUAAGGCUUCAUAUUUUGCUCUCUUUUUGCACAGUGUGGAGAAACGGUUUUUCACAGCAUUAUCCGUUCUGCACCAACGCAUUUGAAGCAUAGCAAUAAGACACUGUUGUAACAAAAACUGAUUUUGUAUUUCCAUAAAGAGAAAAAUGCAUGCAAUUCUGAUUA